rnacentral:lncRNA from 1 species
CACUGGUGAUAACUGCAGGGAUGUAUUUGAAAGCCACUGUACCCAUUUUUCUAGAUGAAAAUAUCUUCCCUUGAAUGGCCCAAGUGAAGGUAAAUGACUUCUAGUCUGCCCUCUCUGAAACCCAUGCCCCACUGCUCAUCAAAGAAGACUGAGGUCCUCAAAGAUGAGAAUGGCUGCCUAUUAAAGACCCUUCCAAUAGACUGCAGAAUCCAAAAAAGUAAAACUCAGAGAAGCAGGAGUUGUUGGGAUGGAUAGAAAGAUGAGGAAAAUGAAGACAUAUUGAUGCAAAGCACAGUGGAUGGACUAGACAGACAGGUGGAGUCAGGAUUCCACAAGCCCACUGUCCUUCUCUUCUGGUACCCAGGAAUCUGACCAAAACAGCCCUUCUGGUUUUCCUGGGACUAAGCACAUUUGUGGAACACCAGGCAAUCAGAGCUAAAGUUGAGAAAGCCCAGGGCAAACUCAGAUGAGCUGGCUCCCCCUACAAAAUGCUUUCUGCUGAAGGUCGUUAAGAGCUUAUGUGAAGAAAAAUGAGGCAGGACAUCAUGAUGAGAGUGUGUGACAGACCAAGCUGCCCUCCUCAUGGCAACAUGUAACAGAGAGAGAAGAAGAGGAAGGUCUGGGAAUGUCACAUUCCCCUCAGAGGUGCUCCUCCAGUGACUUAACUUUCU